GGAGGCAGCCGGAACCUUGGUAUUAAUUGAUUGAGGAAAAUGUUGAGGGGAUUAUUGGAUGACUCACAGGGAGGUGGUGAUCUUAAGAUGGAGCUGUUUCCCUAGGGUAUUUUCCAAGAAAUUCACAUGUAAAUCCAGGCAGUGAAGCGGGGCUUCUUUCAGUAAGAUCUGAAAUGUCAAAACAGGAGCAGCUGUUCUCCAUCACAUGCUUCUGCCACAAUGUGCUGCCUCAGCAUAAGUUCAAAGCCAAUGGAGCCAAGUGAUUACAAGUUCAAAGCCAGUGGAGCCAACUGAUUAAGGACUGGAACCUACAAAACUGUCUUGCUGUGUGUUCCAUUUUCUCUCCAAAUGUCAGAGGGGAAUGGAAAAUUGGAGUGCCGUAAAACACUUGGAGACUUCAUUUAUUACACAUUAAUUAUAAAAUCAAAGGGAAAUAAGGAGGAGUUCUUCUGUUUUCAAACCCUGGGAAACUAGUGUGGAGCAGAGCAAACUGAGCAGAUACUAAGGGGUUGACUUUCUCUGCAUGGAAAAGAAUAAACUUCACACAAGCAGGACUGAAGUGUAUGACAUUGAGUGUUGUGAAGAACACAUAAGGAUAAUGUAAAAGAAAAAGUUUAACAAAAUACAAGCAUUGACAUUCUUAAGCCCUCAAGAGAACUGAGGCUGAAGGCAAGCUCUCACCCUGUUAUCCAGAGAAAUAGAUGAAUGUAGAAGUUACCACCUGAUGUAUGCUUACCUGGAACAGAAGACACUACAGCCAAAUGAUGUUUGGCUUUCAUAAUAGCUCUGAUAAGUUUCUGGAAUCUGAGUGCCCACUACUGGAAGAAUGAAAAACUCUUAGAUACCCAAUUUUGAGGAAGAUUUUUGACAGUUCUGUGGGUUUUUACCUCUAGAAACUCUACCACAUUUUCAUGGUAAGAUCUGAGAAAAGACCCAUUAUAGCUGUGAUAGGGGAGGGGGAAAAGUAAUCAUCAUGAAAUAUAUUUAGUAUAACAAAAGGCUGUUGUCCAGAAACACUUACCAGAUAUUAACCACACCUAGGGAAGGGCAUCCCUCUCUCUCCAGCAUCCUCUAAUCCUAUCUUCCCUGAGUUAGUCAGAAAGGGGAGAAAUUAUGGUACUGGAUCAAUCUUUGUGAAGGUCAUAUCCUAGGAACACAAGCUCAUGAAAGAUUAAAAUGUAAUCAUAAGACCUCAGAAUAAUUUUCUUUUACAAUAUCUCACCACCAUGUUAGGAGGGCCCAGUGUAAUAAUAGAUUUCAGCUGAAAGAGCUUCAAGAUAGUUUCUCCAAAUAGGAAUACUAGGGAAGCUCUUAAAUCAAGAGAAGACAAAAAUCAUACCUGUGUAAUUUGAAGCCUCUGGAAUGUAACAACUUCAAGAAGCACUGAACAGAGCCUGAGUCCCAGCAAGGUUUCUAUACAUUUACCUCAUUUCCUUAAUCCAUUAAAUAUCUCUAGUUUCCUAUGAAAAAUCAUAAGGCAAGAAAAUACACACUG